rnacentral:rRNA from 1 species
CUAUGCGCCUUGCCAGCCCCGCUCAGAAACUCAAAGGAAUUGACGGGGCCCGCACAAGCGGUGGGGCAUGUGGUUUUAAUUCGAUGAUACGCGAGGAACCUUACCUGGGCUCAAAUGUAUGUUGACGUAUUCUGAAAGGGAUACUUCUUCGGACAAUAUACAAGGUGCUGCAUGGUUGUCGUCAGCUCGUGUCGUGAGAUGUUGGGUUAAGUCCCGUAACGAGCGCAACCCUUGUCCUUAGUUACCAGCACGUUAUGGUGGGCACUCUAAGGAGACUGCCGGUGACAAACCGGAGGAAGGUGGGGAUGACGUCAAGUCAUCAUGGCCCUUACGGCCUGGGCUACACACGUGCUACAAUGGUCGGUACAAAGGGUUGCCAAGCCGCGAGGUGGAGCUAAUCCCAUAAAACCGAUCGUAGUCCGGAUCGCAGUCUGCAACUCGACUGCGUGAAGUCGGAAUCGCUAGUAAUCGUGAAUCAGAAUGUCACGGUGAAUACGUUCCCGGGCCUU